CGUAGGCGGCAAGCGUUGUCCGGAUUUAUUGGGUUUUAAAGGGUGCGUAGGCGGUCCUAUAAGUCAGUGCUGAAAUAUCCCGGCUUAACCGGGAGGGUGGCAUUGAUACUGUAGGACUUGAGUAAAGUUGAGGUAGGCGGAAUUGACGGUGUAGCGGUGAAAUGCUUAGAUAUCGUCAAGAACACCGAUAGUGAAGACAGCUUACUAAACUUUAACUGACACUGAGGCACGAAAGUGUGGGGAUCAAACAGGAUU
rnacentral:rRNA from 1 species